rnacentral:rRNA from 1 species
CCUACGGGAGGCAGCAGUAGGGAAUCUUCCACAAUGGGCGAAAGCCUGAUGGAGCAACGCCGCGUGGGUGAAGAAGGUCUUCGGAUCGGAAAACCCUGUUGUUAGAGAAGAAAGUGCGUGAGAGUAACUGUGCACGAUUCUACGGUAUCUAACCAGAAAGCCACGGCUAACUACGUGCCAGGCGCCGCGGUAAUACGUAGGUGGCAAGCGUUAUCCGGAUUUAUUGGGGGUAAAGGGAACGCAGGGGGUCUUUUAAGUCUGAUGUGAAAGCCUUCGGCUUAACCGGAGUAGUGCAUUGGAAACUGGGAGACUUGAGUGCAGAAGAGGAGAGUGGAACUCGAGGUGUAGCGGUGAAAUGCGUAGAUAUAGGGAAGAACACCAGUGGCGAAAGCGGCUCUCUGGUCUGUAACUGACGCUGAGGUUCGAAAGCGUGGGUAGCAAACAGGAUUAGAUACCCGAGUAGUC